rnacentral:lncRNA from 1 species
UGUAGACUUGAUAUAUUCAUUUAUUAUACGAUCAUCCCCAAAUGCUUUAUCAUUUUUCAGGUUUUUGAUGCCCUUAAGAAUUUCGUCUUUAGAAAUUCUUCUGUUUAGAUUUUCAUUAAGCCUAUCGACAUCAUUCGGGUUUAGAGUUGGAAUAUUGGUAUUUUCUUCAAUUUCUGGGGCGGCGUUCAGAUUUUUGAAAAAAUCGAAUAAUUUGUUGAUAGGGAUGUCAGGUUGGGCUCUCUUUUUUCUACUGUUAAGUAAUUUCCAAUACUCUUUUGAGUUAUUGGAUCUCAAUGUGUUUAUUUUUUUCGCCAUUUUCUUUCUAUGAGCAAUAAUUGCUUUAUCUAAAGUUUUUUUGUAUUGUUUCUCCGAAGAUUUCAUAAUUUGACGAUUUUCUUCAGAACUAAUGUUCUUAAAUUUUCUUUUGAGUUUGCGAUAAUUUUGGCGAGCAAAUUUACAAUCAUAAUCAAACCAUUCUUUAUCCAAUUUUACAGGCUUGUUUUUAUAUUUCUUUAACCCGCUAGUUUUGGUUACCCCAAAUGUUGCCCUAGCAGAAUUCAAAAAUAAGUCACACAUGUUAUUAACAAUCAGGUUCAUUUCAUUUUUGUCCAUAUUUGCUUCAACUUUAUUAAUAUCUUCAAUUAGAGCGUAAAUCUCUUCUACAUCUAUCCCAUUUUGAAAAUCCACAAUUUUAUCAUUAUCCCAUUUUUUAAUAUUUUCUGGACGAUUACAUGUAUCUGUUCCAGUAAUUAAACACUGAUUGUUUACAACAUCUUGCUUAGUGCUCGCCAAAGUUAUCUGUAAUGGCGAAUGAACAUCAGAAUAUAAGGUGCAAAAAUCAAGUACAUGAAAAUUAGUAAAAUAUUUUAACAACUCAACACUACUAAUACAAUAAUCUACAAUACUGCUAUUUCUACAUGUUAAUUUACCAUACUGUCUAUCAUCACCAAUUCGACCAUUUACAAUAAAUAAAUUGUUUCCUUUACAUAAAUCUAACAAUCGUUUCCCGUAUCCAUUUUUUACCCUGUCCAAAGACUUUCUUUUCUUUGGGAUAUUCAAUUCUUCAAGCAUAUACACUUUAUUUUCUAUAAAAUCUGUUAAAUUAUCUAUAUGUUUAUCAUUAUGUAUAAUAACAAAAUCGUCGUCGUCUGCUGUUCGUCCGUUGAAAUCGCCAAGUAAUGACACAUAUUUAUAAUUAUUAGAAAAAAUAAU